rnacentral:misc_RNA from 1 species
GAUGAAGAACGUAGUGAAAUGCGAUAAGUAAUGUGAAUUGCAGAAUUCAGUGAAUCAUCGAAUCUUUGAACGCACAUUGCGCCCCCUGGUAUUCCGGGGGGCAUGCCUGUUCGAGCGUCAUUUCACCACUCAAGCCUCGCUUGGUAUUGGGCAACGCGGUCCGCCGCGUGCCUCAAAUCGACCGGCUGGGUCUUCUGUCCCCUAAGCGUUGUGGAAACUUUCGCUAAAGGGUGUUCGGGAGGCUACGCCGUAAAACAACCCCAUUUCUAAGGUUGACCUUGGAUCAGGUAGGGAUACCCGCUGAACUUAAGCAUAUCAAUAAGCGGAGGA